UACGUAGGGGGCUAGCGUUGUUCGGAAUCACUGGGCGUAAAGCGCACGUAGGCGGGUCUUUAAGUCAGGGGUGAAAUCCUGGAGCUCAACUCCAGAACUGCCUUUGAUACUGAAGAUCUUGAGUUCGGGAGAGGUGAGUGGAACUGCGAGUGUAGAGGUGAAAUUCGUAGAUAUUCGCAAGAACACCAGUGGCGAAGGCGGCUCACUGGCCCGAUACUGACGCUGAGGCACGAAAGCGUGGGGAGCAAACAGG
rnacentral:rRNA from 1 species